UGACCUGGGUCCCUUCUCCUGGGGCCACCUUCCCGUCCCAAAGUGACUGACCCUGUGAAGGAGGGCAAUGGCCACACCUGUGACACUGGGGUCCCAGCAACAGCCUCUCCUCACCCCCCCAUGUCCCUGGGGCCUCUCAGAAGGGACAUGAGACCCGCCUACCUACAGCCUCCCCUCCCAGCAAAGCCAAGUGACCAUCAUCCUCCUGCCCCCUGGCCGGCCACCCUCACCCCCAUUCCCCCAACACACGCUCCAUUUCGCCUUCUCCCACCAAACCUCAAAACCUGAGCUCCCCGCAUUCCCUCCUCAUUGUCUCCCUUCCCCCAUCCGGACACUGUCUCCCCAGCCAGGAGGGCCUCGUCAGACCCCAAACUAGCAUCUUCAGAGGAUGGCACUGGAGCUUGAAUUGAAACUCUUCCAGACAGAACUACCAGGAGGAAGCAAGUGCAUGAUCCCAAACGUCCUCCAGCCCCUCCCUUCCCUCCACCGCACCCUAACCCUAAAUGCUUGGGUCUUCCUAUCGCUCCAUCUCCGUUGGGAAAACUCCUAUUCAUCCUUGAAAACCCCACUAGGAUGUCCCCUCUUCUGGGAGCCUCAGCUGUUGCCCUUGCUCCUGGUGGCUCUCCCUUCUGCAAGUUCCUCGGGGCAGGAGACCCUCAGAUCCCUGACCCCUGGGGCUCAGGCUCAGCAUGGAGCAGUGAUCAGAGAGGACUGGGGGUGGGCACACACAUUCCACCCCAAAUGCAACCCCGAGGCAGGAGCUCGUCCUGCCCCAAGAAACUCAGGGAAAUCCAAGCAUUCUGGACACUUUAAGCCACCGGAAUAUGAAUAUUUGUCUUUGAAACCCAACAACUUCUUCCUCAUGGGGGAUGAGGGGCAGAGGAAGGAGAGGAGAGAAGUGCUGCCGGUGCCCUGGGGACACUGGGUGGCUCCUGCUCGAUGGGGCAGUGCUGGUGCCUGGAUGUGGUUGCAAAGGUCCCUGGAAACCAGGCCUCUCAGUGCUGUGCUGCAGGCACUGGCAUCACUCAGGCGGAAGCAGGUAACGGAGAGUGUGGGGUGGCGGCGCUGGGCAGAGGGAGAGCUGGGGUGGGG
rnacentral:lncRNA from 13 species